rnacentral:sRNA from 1 species
GAUACCAGGGUCAAAAGGUCUAAACCCACAUGAGCUUGUUCAUAGGUGGGUGAAAGACCUUGGGACCCGCCCCCCGAUAUGAGCAUAAUAGUGGGAUGAUAAUCCCACGAUAUGCGAAUGUCGGGACGGAUUGUUAGAGUGCAAAGCACGGAACAAUCCGCAGGUAUC